CUUUAUUAGCCUGGUACCCGAGGCCUUCCGAUGUUCAAAGAACGAAGGCCAGGCAUCGGAUGUCGAAUGGAUUCUUCCACUGAUCAAAAUCCAAUAUGGCGGACUCAAUGAUGAAUUUCCAUACAUAUGGAAAGAAGAAACACAUGAUAGUGGAUGAAAAACACCCUCAUAUAUAAUGCUUCAUGAAUAUGCAAAACCAUGCCAACAGUCUACAGACUCCAGAUGGAAAGAUACAAAGAAAGAAAUUCUAAAGGGGUAUUCAAGGACUCAUCCUCCUCCAAACCAAUUCAUAUUGGAAGGAAUUAACAUCCAACUUGAAUGAAGAAUUACACACAGGCACUUAAUUAGGCCCCAAGCGAUAUAAGUGCUUCUGGAAUUACAAACUUCCAUAACAGGUGCAUCAUGCAGACCCUUUUAAAAAGGAGAAGCCAGAUCUUCAGAAGACUUCCUUAAAAAUGAGAAUUUUCUGAGUGGAAGUGAAGAAUGAAAGGUGAAGAUAACGAACAGUGAUCAAUCUCAUAACUCUUAUAAGAAGAAUGUGGCAUGCAUACAAGCAGACAACAGCAUUCCCUCCCUCUUGUUUGUAUCAGAGGUGAGCUUUUUGAGAAAGACUCAUGGAGGGAGUUCGAGAGUGUCAGUUCUCAGAUCAAGAAGUUAGCCAACAGUAGGAGGAGUAGCAAUUCAUUCCACAGUAUGACAUGAGAAAUACAUGACAGGAAAAACCUUAAAAAGGAGAUUUGGCAUUGUUUCAUGUGGAAAUGGAAGAAUCUUUGAAAUAUAUAACACAUACAUGUUUCAGUUACUUGGGGAUAACACUUAUGAGGAAUUUUGCCAUAUAUCAGAUGGGAAUGUGUUGCACAAGAAAUGCUUGAUCACAACCCUCUUUUAUUAGAAACCUUUUCUAUGCAAAUAAUUAUUGUAAAUGAAAUUUAGCUAUUUCAUUAGACUAGUAAACAUGUUUUCUGUGCAAGUGUGUGUCUUUGACAUUAAAUGCUAUGAUAUUGAAGUAUUCUUAAACAAUAGAAGAUCUCUACUAGUUCUUUCAAAGGAAGCCAACAACAGGAAUCGAACCUGUUCCUCCAUCGUACAGAUACGAAAGUGUGCACCAGUACACCAUGUUGGCAUAUAUUAAGAACUGGUAGUCUUGGAGAGUAAAUAUUGUAUUAUUCUUGUACAGUUGAUACUGGUUGGUGUGAUAUAUAUAUGUAUAUAUAUAUAAUAUACAUACAAGUAUAUAUAAUGUAUGCUUCAUGUUUGCUAGUCGUUAAUAAAGCAUUUGAAUUGAA